AGGGUGACAAAGUUUCAAAUGUAUAUUUUAGGUCUUCCUCAUCUAUAUUUAAUUUAUUGCUCGUCAUUGUUAAAACGAUUGAGAUGCCAAUCAAAGCGCACAGCAGCCAAUCGAAGGCUUUAGAUUAGUCACGCUUGUUAAAGUCACGUGCUCGUGACUGAAUUCACCGCGUUCACGGAGUCUCUCGUCUUAAACAACAAAUAGUGUUUUAGCGACAUAAAUGAAUUUCAUCGGAUCACAACCCUUCCUUUACACUCCAAAAUUCAUGUCCAAACUGGAUCUGUUCUCUGAUGAUCUGCUAAAAGUGUUUACCAAAAAGGGUGGAGUGUUUAGAAAAAAGAUUCAAGAUGUGAUGCUGCCAAUGUCUCAGACCAAGCAAGAGUGCAUUCUCAAGGGGCUAUGCAUCUACCUGAAUGAAGAUGAAUAUGAUGGAGUAUUUGCUGAGAUCUUUUUCGUUACAAACAGUUAUCACAAGUAAUAACAAACUUGACCUUGCAAAAGACGUGGCAUGAACUGCGUCUAAAAAAAUUUCAAUUUAAAAGCAGAGGCACUUUCUUGUAUAUACGUUUGUAUGUUUAAAUAUCAAAAGACAUUCCCCAUCAAAACUGCUGAUGGGUAAAGAGUUAAUGUACAUUAUUAAAUUUUAAAAUAUUGAGUAAAUUGUAAAGCUCAGAUAUGAAUUAAAUGACUGAUGUUAACUUCUCUUUAAACCUUUGUACUCCACACAGCCACUGGUUUAGGUUUACGUGAUAUCAUCCUGUUUGAUAAGCACAGUUCUUGAUAGUCAAUUCGAUUCACCUUUAUUUAUAUAGCACUUUACACAAUACACAUGGUCAAAGCAGCAUAAUUAAACACGAAAAUAGUUUGUCGGUAAUGCAAGAGGACAAUAACAAACAGACAGUUUUUGUUUUGUUUUUUAAGAAAAUGUCAGUUCAUUGAUUAUUCAGUGAUGUCAUCAUCCAGUUCAACUCUCUUCCAAUAGUGUCUAUGCAAUCAGUCAAGCAUCCCCAUUCGCCAACGGUGGCAGUGGCAAGGAACCAAAACUUAAAGGGAUGGUUCACUUUCAAAUUAAAUUUUGGUAUGUUUUAGUUUACCUCAAGGACUUCCAAAAUGUAGGUGUCCUUGUUUCCUCAGUAUUUCCCAUUUUGAUAUUUUUAGGUCAAACUGUUCUUGUCUGUGACUAAUAUAAUGGAGGUCUAUGGUCACCACCUCAAAGAGCAUGCACAGAGAAGUCCAAAUUAAACAAUUCCCCACCGUAAGUACACAUUGAUGACCUAAGACAUUGCAUCACACACCUGUCUGACUGAAGAUCCUGAGUUUCCUCCGCUGUUGAGCCGCAGCGUUUUGCACAUUGUGUUUAGUUUGCCACGUAUAAACUGGAGGCGACGUCCAAUGCCAGAGGGAGCCAAUGGCACACUGUCAAUAGAGUGAGUAAUGUGUUGUUUAUUAUAAUUGCAACGAUUAUAGGGUGCAUUAUAAACAAAUUAAUAAUUACAGUUACUGCAUUAUAUUUCGGACAAUGCAGAUUGGUGGUGUAUUGUGUGGUAAACAGUAAACAAUGAGUGAUGUACACGCACGAGAGAUCGCUUCCGGUGCUUUCCGCGCUUGAGCAGACUAAGCCAGAGCUCGUGCGCACGUCACGUCAGGAAGCACUCGUGCACUCGGAUCAGUUGGACGUGGUUGUGUACAGGAGAUAAAACCAAAAUAAAUAGUUCAUUUUCUUACAACAAACCGUUUGUUUCAUGUCUUAGGUCAUCAAUGUGUACUUGUGAUGGGGAAUUGUUUAAUGUGGAAUUCUCUGUGCAUGGAGGUGGUGACCAUUGUCAAACUAGGCCUGGACUACAUCAAGGACCGUCUGGAGGAGGAGACUUUGCAUCAGCCGGCAGCUGAUGGUCCCAGUGGCUCUGAGGAAGAGGACGUCUCUGCGAGCAUGAAGUCUACUCAUGGUCAGGAAGGUAUCAAGCAGUUCGAUGGCUACCUUGCCUGCAAAGCUGAUGACAGAGACGUUCUCAAGUCCUUCCCAUCCGUCUGUAAGAUGUCUUUGAAGCUCAAUACUGCUUUACUCUGCAGCUUGUGAACGUCUUUUCAGCACAGCAGGGCUUAUUUUCAGUCCCAGGAGGGCAAGAAUGGACUCGCACACCUUUGAGAAUCAGCUCCUUCUCAAGCUGAAUAAAAGAUAUUGCCACUUUAGUUAGAUCAUCAGUGCCAUACUGUACUAGCAUGCUCACCAGAAGUACACUUAAUGGAAAGCUGAUUAAUAAUGUUUACUGCCACAACUGUUGUUCAUUGCCAUUUGAGGCUUGUUAUUUUAGUAUGUCACUUGUGAUGACAGGUUAUGUAAUUUGUUUUGAGAUUUUCACACUAUGCUGAGGUCACCUUACUUGAUAUAUUUUAUUCAUUUAUUUUUUUUAGUAUCACCAGUUUCAUGUGAAGCAGUAUAGAGUUAAUAAUACACAAAUACUGACAAUUACAUGUAAAAGCAUUACUAAAUAUUGUUCCUGACAGUGUGGGGAAAUUCAUAACUGAAAUAGUAUUAUAUACCCCUUCUAUAUGCAGUUGUGACUGGCAAGUGCGUUUCUUCUGAUCACAAACACUAGUUCCUAUUACAGUGAAUCUGAUAUGGCCAGUUUAUAUUUAUACACAGACACAUUCAGAUAUGAUAUAGUAAAGGAAAACUCAUGUUAACCUGUGUUUUGCAAGUUUAAGUUUAAAUAAAAACUUGGAUAACUGUUACAAAUAAAUGUUAAACUGAAACUA